GAGAGGUGACCUGCCGGGCGCCGAUUGGCGGAGGGCGAGUGACGUACGCUCGCGGCGGACUGCCGAGCCGCGGGAACCGGCGGGUAGCUAGGCCCUCCUUGGAAUCUUGUAUGAAGGUGGCCACCCUGUUGGGCCUUUAACGUCUGUAGAUGCUGGAGACCCGCAGAAAGGAUACUGUGUACGAUGAGUUAAGCAUGUGAGAGUGCUUUCUAACCGGAAAGUGCCUUUCAAAAAGAUGCCAAACCUAUUUCUUGUGAAAAUUGAGCAAGGAAAUACCAGGAUCCACAAGCAGUGGAACACGUCCCAAGAGUUCAGCACACGUGUCUCUGACCAGAAAAACAUCACAAAGAACCAUUAUACAAGAAGCCUUAAACUACGUCUGGUGGUAGAACAAAAUUUAAAAUCCCAAAUAUAACCUUGUUACUAUAAUAACAAUACUUUUAAGUCUGAAUUUCAGAUUCAUCUUAUAAUCAGCAUUUUGAGCUGUAUGAUACACACUAUUUUAAUAAAAUAGCCACUACUAUUUUCAGUUGCUUACUAUAUGCC